rnacentral:rRNA from 1 species
AGAGUUUGAUCCUGGCUCAGAUUGAACGCUGGCGGCAUGCUUUACACAUGCAAGUCGAACGGUAACAGGGAGCUUGCUCCGCUGACGAGUGGCGAACGGGUGAGUAAUGCAUCGGAACGUGCCUAUUUGUGGGGGAUAACGUAGCGAAAGUUACGCUAAUACCGCAUACGCCCUGAGGGGGAAAGCGGGGGAUUCGUAAGAACCUCGCGCAAUUAGAGCGGCCGAUGUCGGAUUAGCUAGUUGGUGGGGUAAAGGCUCACCAAGGCGACGAUCCGUAGCGGGUCUGAGAGGAUGAUCCGCCACACUGGGACUGAGACACGGCCCAGACUCCUACGGGAGGCAGCAGUGGGGAAUUUUGGACAAUGGGCGAAAGC